CUGGAGUGCUACCAGGUCCUUCAUGAUGGAGUUCAAGGCCUCUUGUUCGUCCAUGGCGGCGGGCGGCGGCCCCGCGCCGGGCGGGCGGCGGCGCGCUGAGGUACGCUGUCACCGCCGCGGCUCCAUGGCGGCCGGGCCGAGGGGGAGGGCUCAGAGCCGCCGCCACAUUCCCAGGCCCGCGCCGCCGCCGCCUCCUUCCGGCGGCCCCGCUCCGGCUCCCACGGCGGCGGCGGGGCUGCGGGUUGCGGGGGGCGGGCCUCGGGCGGUGCCGGUCGCUCCCCGCCGCCGCCGCAGAGCGCCCGGGCCGCGAGCAAAA
rnacentral:lncRNA from 1 species